UCCAACAAAAUUUGAGACACCCCAGGAUUCUUAAUUGGUUUUCUGUGAGAUAGUACCCUUGUGUUAUGCACCGACGCCUCUGUUCCUGGCACUAGUAUAGCAGAUUAGUUGCUCUCAUAAUCUAUUCUUAUUGAACAGAAAUGUUGCCUUGUGAUUUUAGUCCACUUGGUAAGGGCAUUCUAUGAUAUUGGUAAUAAUGGAGUACACUUUUGUUUUUGUUGAAAUUAUGUAACCUUGUGCAUUUUUGUUUAUCCUUGUCCAAUGUAAUCGUCAUAUUAUUCUUCAUUUUAGUAGGUUUUAUGGGAA
rnacentral:lncRNA from 1 species